rnacentral:rRNA from 1 species
GACGAACGCUGGCGGCGUGCUUAACACAUGCAAGUCGAACGGAAAGGCCCUGCUUUUGUGGGGUGCCCGAGUGGCGAACGGGUGAGUAACACGUGAGUAACCUGCCCUUGACUUUGGGAUAACUUCAGGAAACUGGGGCUAAUACCGGAUAGGAGCUCCUGCUGCAUGGUGGGGGUUGGAAAGUUUCGGCGGUUGGGGAUGGACUCGCGGCUUAUCAGCUUGUUGGUGGGGUAGUGGCUUACCAAGGCUUUGACGGGUAGCCGGCCUGCGGGGGUGACCGGCCACAUUGGGACUGAGGUACGGCCCAGACUCCUACGGGAGGCAGCAGUGGGGAAUAUUGCACAAUGGGCGGAAGCCUGAGGCAGCAACGCCGCGUGCGGGAUGACGUCCUUCGGGUUGUAAACCGCUGUCGCCUGUGACGAAGCGUGAGUGACGGUAAUGGGUAAAGAAGCACCGGCUAACUACGUG